CUACCAAUGGGGUUGCUCUUAGAC
rnacentral:siRNA from 1 species